rnacentral:rRNA from 1 species
CAAUAGCGUAUAUUAAAGUUGUUGCGGUUAAAAAGCUCGUAGUUGGAUUUCUGCUGAGGACGACCGGUCCGCCCUCCGGGUGAGCAUCUGGUUCGGCCUUGGCAUCUUCUUGGUGAACGUAUCUGCACUUGACUGUGUGGUGCGGUACCCAGGACUUUUACUUUGAGGAAAUUAGAGUGUUUCAAGCAGGCAUACGCCUUGAAUACAUUAGCAUGGAAUAAUAAGAUAGGACCUCGGUUCUAUUUUGUUGGUUGAGGGACUGCAGUAAUGAUUAAUAGGGAUAGUUGGGGCAUUAGUACUUAACUGUCAGAGGUGGAAUUCUCAGAUUUGUUAAAGACUGACUUAUGCGAAAGCAUUUGCCAAGGAUGUUUUCAUUAAUCAAGAACGAAAGUUAGGGGAUCAAAGAUGAUUAGAUACCG